CCCUUAGAUGUCCUGGGCCGCACGCGCGCUACACUGAUGCAUUCAACGAGUUUUACCUUGGCCGAGAGGCCUGGGCAAUCUUUUAAACCUGCAUCGUGAUAGGGAUAGAUUAUUGCAAUUUUUAAUCUUGAACGAGGAAUUCCUAGUAAACGCAAAUCAUCAAUUUGCAUUGAUUACGUCCCUGCCUUUUGUACACACCGCCCGUCGCACCUACCGAUUGAAUGGUCCGGUGAAGCCUCGGGAUUGUGGCCAGUUCACUUUAUUGGGAGUUGGCUGUGAGAACUUGUCUAAACCUUAUCAUUUAGAGGAAGGUGAAGUCGUAACA
rnacentral:rRNA from 1 species